rnacentral:rRNA from 1 species
UGUGAUUCCCUUAGUAACUGCGAGUGAAGCGGGAAAAGCCCAUCGUUUAAUCUUCUCGGACUAUGGACGGGACGACAUGUAACGGUAUGGAUAGGUUCUCUACCAACAUUGACUGAUCAAAGUCCUCCGGAUUGAGGUGCCAGAGAGGGUGACAGCCCCGUGUAUGAUUGGGCAAUGUUGGGUAUGUGACCAAUUCCGAGAGUCGGGUUGUUUGGGACUGCAACCUAAAGUAGGUGGUAAACUCCACCCAAGGCUAAAUAUUGACACGAAACCGAUAGCGAACAAGUACUGUGAAGGAAAGUUGAAAAGAACUCUGAAAAGAGAGUUAAAAGUACGUGAAACCGCUAACGGGGAAGCGGAAGGCAGUGUCGAGAUUGAGUAAGUGAGUCAUUGCAAAUGUGCUUUGUGGUGUCGUAUAAGGCGGUGUCCAAUGUGCAUUUAAAGUGGCUAGCUUUGCUUGAUGCGUCAGGACUAUUGGUGUGCGAUGGUUCAAUUGCUGGCAUGGCUUCUACAACACCUAAACUUUUGACAGUUGAGGCUUGUAGUUGCGGCUGGUGAUCCGCCUCGUGUGCUGAUAUGUAUGUGAUGAAGCGUUGGUGAUGUAUGGUCGGUUGGUGAGUUGCGGUGCUUGACACUGGUCACAUUGUGACUACGUGUGAAGAAGUCGUAGCUUAGUUCAACAACCAAUGCUAGCUUCUGACGUGAUACCUAACUUUC